GCCAGCAUGUUGAAACUGGUAGCCAAGCAAGUUUCAAAAACUUGUGCCGAAAGGUGUGGGGGUUCAAGUCCCUCUGCUGGUA
rnacentral:tRNA from 1 species